rnacentral:rRNA from 1 species
CCUACGGGAGGCAGCAGUGGGGAAUAUUGCACAAUGGGGGAAACCCUGAUGCAGCGACGCCGCGUGAGUGAAGAAGUACUUCGUUAUGUACAGCUCUAUCAGCAGGGCAGCACAUGACGGUACCUGAGUACGAAGCCCCGGCUAACUACGUGCCAGCAGCCGCGGUCAUACGUAGGGGGCAAGCGUUAUCCGGAUUUACUGGGUGUAAAGGGAGCGUAGACGGCAGUGCAUGUCUGGAGUGAAAGGCGGGGGCUCAACCCCCGGACUGCUCUGGAACCUGGACAGCUGGAGUGCAGGAGAGGGAAGUGGAAUUCCUAGGGUGGCGGUGAAAUGCGUAGAUAUUAGGAGGAACACCAGUGGCGAAGGCGGCUUACUGGACGGUAACUGACGUUGAGGAUCGAAAGCGUGGGGAGCAAACAGGAUUAGAUACCCUAGUAGUC